rnacentral:rRNA from 1 species
UACCAGCACCCCGAGUGGUCGGGACGUUUUAUUGGGCCUAAAGCAUCCGUAGCCGGUUCUACAAGUCUUCCGUUAAAUCCACCUGCUCAACAGAUGGGCUGCGGAAGAUACUAUGGAGCUAGGAGGCGGGAGAGGCAAGCGGUACUCGAUGGGUAGGGGUAAAAUCCGUUGAUCCAUUGAAGACCACCAGUGGCGAAGGCGGCUUGCCAGAACGCGCUCGACGGUGAGGGAUGAAAGCUGGGGGAGCAAACGGGG